AGACCCGGAUGAGUCCUAGUCCCCGCCACACACAGGUCGUGGGUUCUCCUUUGAGAGUGACCACUGGUUCCUAGAGCUUUUCCUAAACUGGAGACGGAUCCUGCCCUGGGGGUCUCAGUCACCGCGAGGACUCGAGGGUAACUGCCAGAGGUCCCAGGUGGCCCGAGGGCUAUUUUAAAAUAUUUUCUGUUUCCUUGAUUUCUCCUCCUUUGGAUGUAUUGGGCUUCCUGACUCUUUGAAGAAUCUAUCCAGUGUCUUUAAGAUAGCAAAACUAAGUGUCAAAAGCACCUUCUGCACACAGUCUGCACACACUGGCCGGUGGUCCUGUUCCCGCAAGGUUGAGCUGUGUUCCAGAGACAUGGGUCCUCCGGGUGAUGAGGAGCCGCUGGAGGGCCCUGAGCUGCACGUGCUAAUGAUUAACGCCCCGUCCGUGCUGGCCGGUUUCUCAAAUGCCUCCUGACGAUUGCGCACAGCCGGACAUCAUUUGUACUGAGAGACAAAAGGAAAUCACUGAGGCUUUCUGAGGUGAGCUGGGCGGCCGC